CUGGAUGCAGUGCUAUAAUGCAGUCGAACGCGUUGGCCCAAUUGAUUGAUGGUGCUUGCACCUGAUUGAUUUUGGUCGCCAACGAGUGGCGGACGGGUGAGUAACACGUAGGUAACCUGCCCAGAAGCGGGGGACAACAUUUGGAAACAGAUGCUAAUACCGCAUAACAGCGUUGUUCGCAUGAACAACGCUUAAAAGAUGGCUUCUCGCUAUCACUUCUGGAUGGACCUGCGGUGCAUUAGCUUGUUGGUGGGGUAACGGCCUACCAAGGCGAUGAUGCAUAGCCGAGUUGAGAGACUGAUCGGCCACAAUGGGACUGAGACACGGCCCAUACUCCUACGGGAGGCAGCAGUAGGGAAUCUUCCACAAUGGGCGCAAGCCUGAUGGAGCAACACCGCGUGAGUGAAGAAGGGUUUCGGCUCGUAAAGCUCUGUUGUUAAAGAAGAACACGUAUGAGAGUAACUGUUCAUACGUUGACGGUAUUUAACCAGAAAGUCACGGCUAACUACGUGCCAGCAGCCGCGGUAAUACGUAGGUGGCAAGCGUUAUCCGGAUUUAUUGGGCGUAAAGAGAGUGCAGGCGGUUUUCUAAGUCUGAUGUGAAAGCCUUCGGCUUAACCGGAGAAGUGCAUCGGAAACUGGAUAACUUGAGUGCAGAAGAGGGUAGUGGAACUCCAUGUGUAGCGGUGGAAUGCGUAGAUAUAUGGAAGAACACCAGUGGCGAAGGCGGCUACCUGGUCUGCAACUGACGCUGAGACUCGAAAGCAUGGGUAGCGAACAGGAUUAGAUACCCUGGUAGUCCAUGCCGUAAACGAUGAGUGCUAGGUGUUGGAGGGUUUCCGCCCUUCAGUGCCGGAGCUAACGCAUUAAGCACUCCGCCUGGGGAGUACGACCGCAAGGUUGAAACUCAAAGGAAUUGACGGGGGCCCGCACAAGCGGUGGAGCAUGUGGUUUAAUUCGAAGCUACGCGAAGAACCUUACCAGGUCUUGACAUCUUGCGCCAACCCUAGAGAUAGGGCGUUUCCUUCGGGAACGCAAUGACAGGUGGUGCAUGGUCGUCGUCAGCUCGUGUCGUGAGAUGUUGGGUUAAGUCCCGCAACGAGCGCAACCCUUGUUACUAGUUGCCAGCAUUAAGUUGGGCACUCUAGUGAGACUGCCGGUGACAAACCGGAGGAAGGUGGGGACGACGUCAGAUCAUCAUGCCCCUUAUGACCUGGGCUACACACGUGCUACAAUGGACGGUACAACGAGUCGCGAACUCGCGAGGGCAAGCAAAUCUCUUAAAACCGUUCUCAGUUCGGACUGCAGGCUGCAACUCGCCUGCACGAAGUCGGAAUCGCUAGUAAUCGCGGAUCAGCAUGCCGCGGUGAAUACGUUCCCGGGCCUUGUACACACCGCCCGUCACACCAUGAGAGUUUGUAACACCCAAAGUCGGUGGGGUAACCUUUAGGAGCCAGCCGCCUAAGGUGACAGAUGG
rnacentral:rRNA from 2 species